GCUUGCUAGAAGAUGACGAGUGGCGGACGGGUGAGUAAUGCUUGGGAACUUGCCUUUGCGAGGGGGAUAACAGUUGGAAACGACUGCUAAUACCGCAUAAUGUCUACGGACCAAACGGGGCUUAGGCUCCGGCGCAAAGAGAGGCCCAAGUGAGAUUAGCUAGUUGGUAAGGUAAUGGCUUACCAAGGCAACGAUCUCUAGCUGUUCUGAGAGGAAGAUCAGCCACACUGGAACUGAGACACGGUCCAGACUCCUACGGGAGGCAGCAGUGGGGAAUAUUGCACAAUGGGGGAAACCCUGAUGCAGCCAUGCCGCGUGUGUGAAGAAGGCCUUCGGGUUGUAAAGCACUUUCAGUUGUGAGGAAAAGUUAGUAGUUAAUACCUGCUAGCCGUG
rnacentral:rRNA from 1 species